rnacentral:rRNA from 1 species
AUUGAACGCUGGCGGCAGGCCUAACACAUGCAAGUCGAGCGGAGCGGCGGACGGGUGAGUAAUGCCUAGGAAUCUGCCUGGUAGUGGGGGAUAACGUCCGGAAACGGGCGCUAAUACCGCAUACUAUCAGAUGAGCCUAGGUCGGAUUAGCUAGUUGGUGGGGUAAAGGCCUACCAAGGCGACGAUCCGUAACUGGUCUGAGAGGAUGAUCAGUCACACUGGAAGUGAGACAGGGGCCAGACGCCUACGGGAGGAAGAAGUGGGGAAGAUGGGAAAAUGGGCGAAAGCGUGAGCAAGCCAUGCCGCGUGUGUGAAGAAGGUCUUAGGAUUGUAAAGCACGUUAAGUUGGGAGGCGUUACCAAAAGAAUAAGCACCGGCUAACUUCGGGCCAGCAGCCGCGGUAAUAC